rnacentral:rRNA from 1 species
UACGUAGGGGGCUAGCGUUGUCCGGAAUCAUUGGGCGUAAAGCGCGUGUAGGCGGCCACCGCAGGUCAGUUGUGAAAUCUCUGGGCUUAACCCAGAAAGGUCAACUGAUACUGCGGGGCUAGAGUGCAGAAGGGGCAACUGGAAUUCUCGGUGUAGCGGUGAAAUGCGUAGAUAUCGAGAGGAACACCUGCGGCGAAGGCGGGUUGCUGGGCUGACACUGACGCUGAACUGCGAAAGCUAGGGGAGCGAACGGG